rnacentral:lncRNA from 1 species
UUUUUUUUGGGUAAUGCUCUAAUAAUGAUGAUCAUCACACUUCUAUUGAUUACAACAUAAGGAUUACAACUCGAAACUUAGAACAAGAUAUGACUCUAUAUGAAUGCCUCCGGCGGUGUACCGGGAUGGUGCAAUGAAUCAACAUGUAUGAAAAAUAAUGCAUGGUGGCUUUGCCACAAAUACGAUGUCAACUACAUGAUCAUGCAAUGGCAAUAUGACAAAAGUAAUGUAUGUCAUGAAUAUGAUGAUGCAAGUUGCAUGGCAAUAUAUCUCGGAAUGGCUAUGGAAAUGCCAUGAUAGGUAGGUAUGGUGGCUGUUUUGAGGAAGAUAUAAGGAGGUUUAUGUGUGAUAGAGCGUAUCAUAUCACGGGGUUUGGAUGCAUCGGCGAAGUUCGCACCAACUCUCGAGGUGAGAAAGGGCAAUGCAUGGUACCGAAGAGUCUAGCAAAUGCGGAAAGGUAAAAGUGCUUAUAAUCCAUGGACUCAACAUUAGUCAAAAGAACUCAUAUACUUAUUGCAAAAAUUUAGAAGUCAUCAAAAAUCAAGUACUACGCGCAUGCUCCUUGGGGGAUAGAUUGGUAGGAAAAGACCAUCACUCGUCCCCGACCGCCACUCAUAAGGAUGCACAAGCUAGGUACACUUCAUAUUUCAAAUUUGUUACACAGCUUUAACCAUACGUGCAUGCUACGGGACUUGCAAACUUCAACACAAGUAUUUCUCAAAUUCACAAUUACUAAACUAUCACGACUUUGAUAUUAUUACCUCCAUACCUCAAAACAAUUAUCAAGCAUCAAACUUAUCUUAGUAUUCAACACACUCAAAAGAAAGUUUCGCAUAUCUUGAAUACCAAGUAUAUUAACAUUAAGCAAAUUACCAUGCUAUUAACAACUCUCAAAAUAAUCUAAGUGAAGCAUGAGAGAUCAAUAGUUUCUUUAAAACAAAUCCACCACCGUGCUCUAAAAGAUCUAAGUGAAGUACUAGAGCAAAAAUUAUCACGCUCAAAAGAUAUAAGUGAAGCUCUAUGAGCAAAAUUAUCAAGCUCAAAAGAUAUAAGUGAAGCAUAUAGAGUAUUCUAGCAAAUUCCAAUUUGUGUAUGGCUCUCUCAAAAGGUGUUUACAGCAAGGGUGAUUGUGGUAAACUAACAAGAAAAGACGCAAAUAAUACAAGAUGCUCCAAGCAAAACACAUAACAUGUGGUGAAUAAAAAUAUAGCUCCAAGUAAAUUACCGAUGGAAGUAGACGAAAGAAGGGAUGCCUUCCGGGGCAUCCCCAAGCUUUGAAUUUUUGGUGUCCUUGGAUUAUCUUGGGGGUGCCAUGGGCAUCCCCAAGCUUAGGCUCUUGCCACUCCUUGUUCCAUAAUCCAUCAAAAGAAUUCACCCAAAACUUGAAAGCUUCACAACACAAAACUCAAUAGAAAUCUCGUGAGCUCCGUUAGAGAAAGAAAACAAAAGACUACUUUAAGGUACUGUAAUUAACUCAUUCUUUAUUUAUAUUGGUGUUAAACCUAAUGUAUUCCAACUUCUCUAUGGAUCAUAAACUUUUUACUAGUCAUAGAUUCAUCAAAAUAAGCAAACAACACACGCAAAACAGAAUCUGUCAAAAACAGAAUAGUCUGUAGUAAUCUGUAACUAACGCAAACUUCUGGAACUCUAAUUUUUUUACCAAAAUAGAACGUAAUGGACAAUUUGUCUAUUGAUCAGCAGCAAAAAGAAUCAAUGCAAAAUCACGUUCCUGUGAUGUAUUGAAUUUUUUCUCGUGAGCGCAAAGUUUCUGUUUUCAGCAGAAUCAAAUCAACUAUCAUCAUAGCUUAUCCUAUAGGUUCUACUUGGCACAAACACUAAUUAAAACAUAAAGCCACAUCUAACCAGAGGCUAGAUGGAUUAUUUAUUCCUAAACAGAAGCAAAAACAAAAAACAAAAAAUAAAAUUGGGUUGCCUCCCAACAAGCUCACUCGUUUAACGCCCCUAGCUAGGCAUAAAAGCAAGGAUAGAUCUAGGUUUUCCCAUCUUUGGUAGGCAAUCCAUAAGUGGAUCUCAUGAUAGAUUUAUAAGGUAAUUUUAUUUUAUUUCUAGGGAAGUGUUCCAUGCCCUUCUUUAAGGGAAAUUGGAAUCUAAUAUUCCCUUCCUUCAUAUCAAUAAUCGCACCAAUCGUUCUAAGGAAAGGUCUACCAAGAAUAAUAGGACAUGAAGGAUUGCAAUCUAUAUCAAGAACGAUAAAAUCUACGGGCACAUAAUUCCUAUUUGCAACAAUAAGAACAUCAUUAAUUCUUCCCAUAAUCUUUUUAAUAGUGGAAUCCGCAAGAUGCAAGUUUAGAGAGCAAUCUUCAAAGUCACGGAAAUCUAGCAAAUCACACAAAGUUUUGGGAAUAGUGGAGACACUAGCACCAAAAUCACACAAGGCAUGAAACUCAUAGUUUUUAAUUUUUAUUUUAGUAGUAGGUUCCCACUCAUCAUAGAGUUUUCUAGGGAUAGAAACUUUCAACUCAAGUUUUUCUUCAUAAGACUGCAUCAAGGCAUCAACAAUGUGUUCGGUAAAGGCCUCAUUUUGACUAUAAGCAUGAGGAGAAUUUAGCACGGAUUGCAACAAGGAAAUACAAUCAAUUAGAGAGCAAUUUUCAUAAUUAAAUUCCUUGAGAUCCAAAAUAGUGGGUUUAGCAACAUCUAGGUUUUUAUUUCUUUCAAUCCCACUUUCAUCAAUUUCAUCAUCAAGGUCUAAAAACUCCGAAUUCUUAAAACGCCUUCUAGGUAAAGGAAGAUCAUAUUUAGUUUCAUCAAGACUCAUAUUGCAAAACAAAGAUUUAAUGGGGGACACAUCAAUAACUUUUAGAUCUUCAUCUUGAUUUUCAUAGGAAUUGGAAGAACACGCUUUAAUAAAGGCAUCUUUGGAAGCACGCAUCCUAGCGGUUCUUUAUUUGCACUCAUCAAUGGAAAUUCUCAUAGCUUUGAGAGACUCAUUGAUAUCAUGUUUAGGAGGAAUAGAUCUAAGCUUUAAAGAAUCAAUUUCAAGAGAAAUUCUAUCAACGUUCCUAGCCAAAUCAUCAACUUUAAGCAAUUUCUCUUCAAGCAAAGCAUUAAAAUUCUUUUGUGAAUUCAUAAACUCUUUAACACUACUCUCAAAUUCAGAGGGCAUAUUAUUAAAAUUUUCAUAAGAAUUAUUGUAGGGAUUUCCAUAAUUAUUAGAGGGAUUACUAGGGAACGGUCUAGUGUUAAAAUUUCCUCUAUAAGCAUUGUUUCCAAAAUUAUUCCUACCAACAAAAUUCACAUCCAUAGAUUCAUUAUUAUUCUCAAUCAAAGAAGACAAAGGCAUAUCAUUUGGAUCAAGAGGAGUAUUUUUAGUAGCAAACAUCUUCAUAAGUUCAUCCAUCUUUCCACUUAAAACAUUGAUUUCUUCUAUAGCAUGCACUUUUUUACUAGAAGAUCUUUCGGUGUGCCAUUGAGAAUAAUUAGCCAUAAUAUUAUCAAGCAAUUUUGUAGCAUCUCCUAACGUAAUUUCCAUAAACGUGCCUCCUGCGGCCGAAUCUAAGAGAUUUCUAGAAGCAAAGUUCAAACCGACAUAAAUUUUUUGUAUGAUCAUCCAUAAAUUCAAACCAUGUGUAGGACAAUUACGUAUCAUUAAUUUCAUUCUCUCCCAAGCUUGUGCAACAUGUUCAUGAUCAAGUUGCUUAAAAUUCAUAAUAUCGUUCCUAAGAGAGAUAAUCUUAGCGGGAGGAAAAUACUUAGAGAUAAAAGCAUGUUUGCAUUUGUUCCAAGAAUCAAUACUAUUUUUAGGCAAAGAAGAAAACCACGCUUUAGCACGAUCUCUAAGCAAAAAAGGAAAUAGCUUCAUUUUAACAACAUCAUUAUCGACAUCUUUUUCCUUUUGCAUAUCACAUAAAUCAAUGAAGCUAUUCAGAUGAGCAGCGUCAUCUUCACUAGGAAGGCCGGCGAAUUGAUCUUUCAUAACAAGAUUCAACAAAGCAGUAUUGAUUUCACAAGAUUCGGUAUUGGCAAGAGGAGCAAUCGGAGUGCUAAGGAAAUCAUUAUUAUUGGUAUUGGUGAAGUCACACAAUUUGGUAGCAUCUUGAGCCAUCGCGACAAACAAGCAAUCCAACACACGAGCAAACAAAAAGGCAAACAAGAAAAAAGGCGAAAGGGAAAGAGAGGAGGAGAUUGGGAAAGAGAGGGCGAAUAAAACGGCAAGGGUGAAGUGGGGGGAGAGGAAAACAAGAGGCAAAUAAUGUAAUGCGAGAGAUAGGGAUUGUGAUGGGUACUUGGUAUGGUUCACUUUUGCGCAAACUCCCCGGCAACGACGCCAGAAAUUAUUCUUGCUACCUCUUGAGCACUGCGUUGGAUUUCCCUGAAGAGGAGAGGAUGAUGCAGUAAAGUAGCGUAAGUAUUUCCCUCAGAUUUUGAGAACCAAGGUAUCAAUCCAGUAGGAGGCCAUGCACAAGUCCCUCGUACCUGCACAAAACGAUAGCUACUCGCAACCAACGCGAUUAGGGGUUGCCAAUCCCUUCACGGUCACUUACGAGGGUGAGAUCUGAUAGAGAUGAUAAAUAAUAUUUUUGGUAUUUUCGAUAUAGAGAUGCAAAGUGAAAAGUAAAAGGCAAAGUAAAACCACAGCAAGUAUUAAAGUAAUGGAGAUUGAUAUGAUGAGAAUAGACUCGGGGGCCAUAGGUUUCACUAGUGGCUUCUCUCAAGAGCAUAAGUAUUCUACGGUGGGUGAACAAAUUACAGUUGAGCAAUUGAUAGAAUUGAGCAUAGUUAUGAGUAUAUCUAGGUAUGAUCAUGUAUAUAGGCAUCACGUCCGAGACAAGUAAACCGAAACGAUUCUGCAUCUACUACUAUUACUCCACUCAUCGACCGCUAUCCAGCAUGCAUCUAGAGUAUUAAGUUAAAAACAGAGUAACGCCUUAAGCAAGAUGACAUGAUGUAGAGGGAUAACUUCAUGCAAUAUGAUAAAAAACCAUCUUGUUAUCCUCGAUGGCAACAAUACAAUACGUUCCUUGCAACCCUUUCUGUCACUGGGUAAGGACACCGCAAGAUCGAAACCAAAGCUAAGCACUUCUCCUAUUGCAAGAACUACCAAUCUAGUUGGCCUAACCAAACGGAUAAUUCGAAGAGACUUGCAAAGAUAACUCAAUCAUACAUAAAAGAAUUCAGAGAAGAUUCAAAUAUUAUUCAUAGAUAAGCUGGAUCAUAAACCCACAAUUCAUCGGUCUCAACAAACACACCGCAAAAGGAAGAUUACAUCGAAUAGAUCUCCACAAGAGAGGGGGAGAACAUUGUAUUGAGAUCCAAAAAGAGAGAAGAAGCCAUCUAGCUACUAACUAUGGACCCGUAGGUCUGAGGUAAACUACUCACACUUCAUCAGAGAGGCUAUGUUGUUGACGUAGAAGCCCUCCGUGGUGGAUGCGCCCUCCGGCGGAGCUCCGGAACAGGCCCCAAGAUGGGAUCUCGUGGAUACAGAAAGUUGCAGCGGUGGAAUUAGGUUUUUGGCUCUCCUCUUGAUCUGUCGGGUGUAUGUAGGUAUAUAUAGGAGGAAGGAGUACGUCGGUGGAGCAACAGGGGGCCACGAGGUAGGGGGCGCGCCCAGGGGGGAGGGCGCGCCCCCCACCCUCGUGACCACCUCUUUUGUUCCUUGGAGCAGGGUCCAAGUCUCCUGGAUCACGUCCGAUGAGAAAAUCACGUUCCCGAAGGUUUCAUUCUGUUUGGACUCCGUUUGAUAUUCUGUUUCUUCGAAACACUGAAAUGGGCAAAAAACAGCAAUUUUGGGUUGGGCCUCCGGUUAGUAGGUUAGUCCCAAAAAUAAUAUAAAAGUGGAAAAUAAAGCCCAAUAUAGUGGUUGCUCUCCCUUUCAUCGUGCCGCCAAAAGCGUUCAGGGCGCUCGCGGCUGCAGCACUGGAUCAAGCAUGCUGUGGCUACCCAGGCCGCGACGGUGGAUGUGGUAGCUCUUGAUUUCGACGAGCCCGCCCUUGACCUCUCGGAUGGGUCACUUGACGAUUCCUCUGAGGAGUUCGAGUGCGAAAGUGUUGAGUCGACCGUCGAAAUCCUCAUAACGGACAACUCUGAACAUCGCGCACCCCGGAGAUACAUGGAUACCCGGGACGGCCGCACGGGCGCGUCACACGACAACACUGACGAUGGUGUCGCGGGUCACGAGUCGUAGGUGCCCCAAGAUCUCACCCGGGAGCGACGAGACAAGCUUCAUCACAAGAACGAACAACUCCUAAACACCCCCAUCACUGGGAGGACCCCCGAGGCAUUGGCCAUGGAGUCGACUCGCCUGGCCACCUUGGCCAAGCGUGAUUGCCUCAAACGGCUUUAUAAGGAGCUGGACGAUCGUGAACGCCGCCAAGCCAGCUCCAGUCGGCAUAAGCGCCGGCUCUUCUCGAGCGAUCAGCCUCGUAAGUCUCAAGUCCUCAGUACUCCACUGCAAAAUCUAGCAGCUGCCACUCUGAUUGCGGAUUCCAUCCAGCCCUCCGGUUCCGCAGCUAGAGAGGGGAUUCGACAAAUCCAGAUGCUCCUGAAGAUGGCGUUGUCGCAAGACACGGCAGUGUUCCAGUCCAGAGAUCGUAUCCAUAGUGCAUCAGUGUGUGCGAAGACCGUCCAGUCGGCUCAUAGCCCACUUGGCUCCGGCACGUGCUGAGCCACAUCCUCCACAAGAGAUCACUACGAACAUCGGAGGCACGAUCGAGUUGCGUUCCCGGGGUCACGAUGACUAUGACCGUGCCCUGAUGCCUCCACUGCGAGAUGGCGCGUACGGGUGCCAGCCCUACGAUGACAGACGGACACACGGUGGCAAUCGUAGGCCGAGUCCCACUCAUCACACGACGGACUCUUGAGACCUGCAGUUCAACGCGAGAUCCAUUCUCACUCAAAACCUAGUCAAAAGGGGCCGGGCCUUGCGAGGAGGCCAAGAUGGCGACGUUCUGAUAUGUCUAUUUUGCAUCAUGCUUUUAUAUCAAUUUUUAUUUCAUUAUAGACUGUUACUACACGUUAUGUCACAAUACGUAUGCCUUUUCUCUCUUAUUUUUUAAGGUUUACAUGAAGAGGGAGAAUGCCGACAACGGGAAUUCUGGAUUGGAAAAGGAGCAAAUAUUAGAGACCUAUUCUGCACAACUCCAAAAGUCCUGAAACUCCACAGAAAUCAGUUUUGGAAUAUAUUAAAAAUAUUGGGCGCAGAAAGCACCAGAGGCGCGCCCCCUGCCUCGUGGGCCACCUGGUAGGCCCCCGAUGUCCAUCUUCUGCUAUAUGGUGUCUUUGGACCUGGAAAAAAUCAUAAGGAAGCUUUCGGGACGAAGCGCCGCCGUCUCGAGGUGGAACCUGGGCACGACCAAUCUAGGGCUCCGGCGGAGCUGUUCUGCCGGGGAAACAUCCCUCCGGGAGGGGGAAAUCACCGCCAUCGUCAUCACCAUCGAUCCUCUCAUUAAGAGGGGGUCAAUCUCCAUCAACAUCUUCACCAACACCAUCUCCUCUCAAACCCUAGUUCAUCUCUUGUAUUCGAUCUUUGUCUCAAAAUCUCAGAUUGGUACCUGUGGGUUGCUAGUAGUGUUGAUUACUCCUUGUAGUUGAUGCUAGUUGGUUUAUUCGGUGGAAGAUCAUAUGUUCAGAUCCUUAAUGCUAUUCAAUACCCCUCUGAUUAUGAACAUGAAUAUGAUUUGUGAGUAGUUAAGUUUGUUCCUGAGGACAUGAGAGAAGUCUUGUUAUAAGUAAUCAUGUGAAUUUGAUAUUCGUUCGAUAUUUUGAUGAGAUGUAUCUUGUCUCUCCUCUAGUGGUGUUAUGUGAACGUCGAAUACAUGACACUUCACCAUGAUUAGGGCCUAGGGGAAGGCAUUGGGAAGUAAUAAGUAGAUGAUGGGUUGCUAGAGUGACAGAAGCUUAAACCCUAGUUUAUGCCUUGCUUUGUAAGGGGCUGAUUUGGAUCCAUAUGUUUCAUGCUAUGGUUAGGCUUACCUUAAUUCUUCUUUCGUAGUUGCGGAUGCUAGCGAGGGGGGUUAAUCAUAAGUGGGAGGCUUGUCCAAGGAAGGACAACACACAAGCACCUGUCCACCCACAUAUCAAAUUAUCGAAGUAACGAACGCGAAUCAUACGAGCAUGAUGCAAACUAGCUUGACGAUAAUUCCCAUGUGACCUCGGGAGCACUUUGCUUUAUAUAAGAGUUUGUCCAGGCUUGUACUUUGCUACAAAAAGGAUUGGGCCACCUUGCUGCACCUUGUUUAAUUAUGUUACUUGUUACCCGUUACGAAUUAUCUUAUCACAAAACUAUCUGUUACCGAUAGUUUCAGUGCUUGCAGAGAAUACCUUACUGACAACCGCUUGUCAUUUCCUUCUGCUCCUCGUUGGGUUCAACACUCUUACUUAUCGAAAGGACUACAAUAGAUCCCCUAUACUUGUGGGUCAUCACGUUCCAAGUGGUUCUGUACCAUCGGGUCUUGAGUGCUUCAGCCAGUAUAUACGAGCAACAGAGAUUCCUAGCAACUUCAUGUUGGCUACGGGGAUUAGCAAGUUCACUGGCGAGUCCAAGCAAGAGAUUUGGCUGGAAGAUUACCAAGUGGUGUUCUAGAUUGGCAGCGGCAACGGCAAUGUGGCCAUGAACACUACAAAAAAAGACACAUCCAUGACAUUUUUGGCCAAAUGAUUUUUUUUCUGUCAUACUUAUGACACUUCUUUGACGAUAAUUGUGACAAAACCCGGUAUCAUCAUAGAUGUGGUGGGCUCCUACUUCUAUGACAAAAAAUCAUGACAAAAAAUGGGCUUUUCGUCCUGGGCGGGCCGGAGACGCAGCUGCAUGACAUUCUUUGGGCCGUCCAUGACGGAAAAACCAUGGUAGAAGCGAGGGCGAGGAAAAUAUCGGGGUGUUCCCGGUUACAGUGGGUGGUCGGGGCUGAGCAAUGCAUGGCGGUUUGCGCGUUUAUCUCGUACACGCACACGCGUGGGUGCGAGGCGUUGGGCUCUAACUGAACCCGAGCGAUUGCACUGUAGGCUACGCGUUACUGAACCCGAGCGAUUGAUCGAUGGCUGUUAACUGAACCCGAUCAAGUGAUUCCUUUGCUACUUCUGCAGCAAGUAGCAGAGCAAGUAGCAGAGAAGAAGCAACAACAACGCAGUAGCAGCAGGCAGCCAAGAGCAGCAGCAGAGCAAGCAACGAAGAGCGGCGGCAAGAAGCAGGGGAUGCAGCAAGCGGACGAGGCGUGGGCGAGCACGGACCAUGGGCGGCGCUCGGCGGGAGCAGGAGCGGCGUGGGCGAAGAAAUGACGAGGACGGACAACUGGUGAAAUGGGGUGAAAAUGGUGUAGUAGCGUUGGGUGCAGCGAGUUUGUCCGGCCUAUGUCCAGCGUUUGUUCUCCCAAUUUCUACCCCAUACGGGCAAAAUCCGGACAAAAUGGGUAUGGAUUUAGGGUCGUGCGGUGGAGUUAGCCUAAUGCUCAUUGAUAAUAGAUUUCAGAAAUGAUUCGCAUGGCAAGGACAUGAGAAUGGGGGCCCUCAAAAUGCCAAGGACAUGGAAUUGACAAAGCUUCAAGACUACAUUUUUGGUUAAGUGAUCCGAGAUCACAUUGAGUCCAUAGGAAAGCCAAUACUAUUAAAAGGGGAUGAGGUUUCGAUCAUGACUCAAUUGCUCAAGUCUUAGUGAUAUUGCUCCAAUAAUCCUCAAACACCUUCUCCAAAUCCUAAAAAGCCAACUCGGCCUCACCUAUCCACUUCUAUCUGGACUCACUGAGUUACUUCAGGCAGAGCCAUAAGCCAAACCCUAACACUUCAGUCCUACUGAUAUGGAUCUCGGUCCCACCGAGAUGGCGUGACCAAGUUUCUGUAAUGAAAUCGCUUCACUUCAGAAUUAUCGAGUUGAAACAAUCGGAAUUACCGUGAUUGCACUGCGCUCUCUCUGAGUUAUUCUGUUCGGUCUCACCGAGAUGUCCAACAUUCGAAUCUUUUACCCAGGUCGAUCUCACCGAGAAUUCCCUUCGGUGUCACCGAGUUGGGUCAAAAGGUUGUAACGGUUGGAUCUUUGGGUGAAGCCCAGAUAUACCCCUCCACCCCCACCUACUCUCUAAGAGAGCCAUCAGAAUGAAUCUACACUUCCAGCAUUCAUUUUAUGAGAGAGGACCACUUACUCGUGUGUUGAGAACAAGAGAUUUCAAUCCAACCAUUUGAACCUUGAUUUCUGGCCUCCCCAAGUCGCUUUCCACUCCAAUCUCUGGUAUACCCAAGCGAGAUCUGUGAGAGAGCGAUUGAGUGUUGAGGAGACUAUCAUUGAAGCACAAGAGCAAGGAGUUCAUCAUCAACUACACAUCUAUUACCUUUUGAAGAGUGGUAUCCCCUUGAUUGGUUAGGUGUCACCUGGGAGCCUCCAAGAUCAUGUGGAGUUGAACCAAAGAGUUUAUAAGGGCAAAGAGAUCGCCUACUUCGUGAAGAUCUACCCCGAGUGAGGCUAAUCCUUCGUGGAUGUAAGCCAUGAUGGAAUAGACAAGGUUGCUUCUUCAUGGACCCUUAGUGGGUGGAGCCCUCCACGGACUCGCGCAGCCGUUACCCUCCAUGGGUUGAAGUCUCCAUCCGUCCGAUAGCACCACCUAUCGGAACCAUGCCAAAAAUCACCAUGUCUUCAUUGCGUUUGAUUUCUCCGACCCCUCCUUUACGUUCAUAUGCAAAGUCUUUACUUUCCGCUGCUCAACUCUUAGACUUGCAUGUGUAGAGUGUUCCUUGACUUGGUAGAAUUGCUAAAACUUGCCUACAACUAAAUUGGGAAAAGGAUGAGGUUUUAUUUGGUAAAAUAUUUUAAUCACCCCCCCCCCUAGACAUACUUUCGAUCCUAAACAUCGGCAAUGGCAAUGCAUGUGGGUGUCGUGUCCCUCUUUUUGGGGAAGGGGGAGGGGCGUCGUUGUGGUCCUCCUAUCCACAUCACGGCUUCGGGUGAAAACCUUGACCAUAUUUUGGCCGGGCCGGUGAUGGCGUGUGCCGUCGUCACCCCCUUUGGGGCAUCACCAUGGAUUCAAGUUCACUCCGAUUGCUUCCCCUCGGCAUCAGCGGGCGACCUCGGAUCCUUUCUCGAUACCCCAUCGGCUCUGGUAGGCAACGAUCCCGACAGUUUUCAAUUGUUUACACUCGACGUUGGUAGCAUCGCUCUCUGUCCUAGGUGUUCGCAGGCAGAAUUGGCGCUCAACUUCCCGGAGCGAGAGUAUAUGGAUGCUCUCUGGCGAGAACUUAGUGUGUGUGUUCCAUCGAAGUCGAGUAGUCUCUCUUCGAGGCAUGAGUUCAUUUCAUGUUAGUAGCCUAGGGUUCUUCUUGGUAGGGUGUGGGCACUCUUGUAUUCUAGUUUGAAAUUUGAUCCGCCUUGUGAGAGAAUUUCCUCAUAACCUUUUAUCGGUUCCGCUGUUGUGCUUUAUAUAUAAAGCGGGGCUAAAAGCCUUUUUCAGUACAAGUUGGUAGGAUCACGUGACAUUGUUGCUAGUAGGCGAGCGGUUCGUAUAUCAGGGCGGCGACGCUGGAUGAGUUGGUGUGAAGGUCGUGGUCUGCGCGUGGCUUCCCUGUGUAGCUUGGGCUAUGCGCAAUCGGGUCAUGCGGCAUUGUAGUUCGAAGGCGAGCGGUGGCAUGUCGGUGCCAUGGCUCCGAGAGGUAUUGUUGGCGGAUUUUGCCUCGUGCUGCGAGGGUGGUAAGGUCGUCGCCAUGGUCUAGAUGAUAUGCAUGGUCGAUCUGGCUGGCUCAUAAACACGCGCAUACACUCACCCUAUGAACGCACACACGCACACCAUACCCCUAUGAGCACCCCCGAAAGACUGAGCCGGCUUAUCAUCUUGAAAUUUACGAAGUCAUCCUGAAAUAAUUUAGAAAUAAAUGCGAGCACCAGGACUUGAACCCUGAUGGGUUGGGGAUACCAUAGUCCUUCUAAGAGCAUCUCCAGCCGUUGGAGCCCCCCAAGACCAUCACCGGGCCAAAAAUAGCACGUCUGGGGGCAAAACACCUUCGCCGGAUGAAACGCGAGGGCGGUUUCCCACCCGUUGGUGCCCCCCAGGACAGUCGCCAGGCAAAAAGUGAAUGAGUGGGUCAGAAAAAAUGAUACAUGGAGGAAUAGGACUGGCUGUUGCUUNNNNNNNNNNNNNNNNNNNNNNNNNNNNNNNNNNNNNNNNNNNNNNNNNNNNNNNNNNNNNNNNNNNNNNNNNNNNNNNNNNNNNNNNNNNNNNNNNNNNNNNNNNNNNNNNNNNNNNNNNNNNNNNNNNNNNNNNNNNNNNNNNNNNNNNNNNNNNNNNNNNNNNNNNNNNNNNNNNNNNNNNNNNNNNNNNNNNNNNNNNNNNNNNNNNNNNNNNNNNNNNNNNNNNNNNNNNNNNNNNNNNNNNNNNNNNNNNNNNNNNNNNNNNNNNNNNNNNNNNNNNNNNNNNNNNNNNNNNNNNNNNNNNNNNNNNNNNNNNNNNNNNNNNNNNNNNNNNNNNNNNNNNNNNNNGAUCUAACCUUCCAAUCACAAAUUGGUUCGCUUCCCUCAUGGACUGGAACAAUUUGUUUAGGUUUUGGAUUCGCUUUCCCUGAUAAGGUGAAUCACAAAAAAUAAUCUAAACAAGAACACAAAAAAUCCACGCUUCGUUGAAAUUCAGUAGAUCAUUUAUCGUUAAAAUAAAUAAAUAACCAGAUGUACGAUAGACUACACCGAUCGAGUUCGGUGCUCGUUGUUUUUGAACUUAUAUGGAUUUCUUAGCCCGUGUACGCCACCAGGUCACCUCGAUGCGUACUUCCACGAGUGCGCGACCGAAUUUCCCAGGAGACCUACGUACACCGGCGGGAAGAAUUCCGGCCGGACCGAGCGCGUUCCCUUUCAAACCGAACCGUCAACGGAAUUCGCGAGCUCAGAGUAUUAUUCUACCGCCGGCAUCCAGUCGCGCCGCAGCUAAUUUCCGCGGACCUGUCGUGGCCAGCGAGCACGUAGUAUGACGUCGACGCACGCAUUGAGAACGAGGACAAUAAACAAUUGCUAGCAGUAGUAGUAGAAAACAAACCAGCGAAGCGCGGAGCCGCGAGCCGCGACGAAACCGGCGGCCAGUGGCGACAUGCGUGCGUGCGCGUAGCUGGCUGGACGGACGGGCGGACGGAUCGGGCGGGUAGGGCAGGCAGCAGGCGCCGCGCCGCGCGCGGGGCCCACACAGCCCGCGGGCGAGGCGAAGGCGAGGGCGAAACUGCCGCCGCGCGAAUCACUGCACCCCGAUGCCCGCCGCUCCCGCGCGCCGGGCCCGCCCCCUGUCUGCCGCGACCACGCCAGGUCUCCCCGCCCCAUCCGCUACUCCCCCCACGCACACGCACCACCCAAACCCACCCACCCAGCGCGCAGCCCCCACCCUUUCCCUCGUGCUACCCGCGUCCCAUCGAGGCCACAGGUAGGCCACGGAGUGCGGUGCCGCAGCGCGGAUCCGGGCAGGGGCGGCAAGGGCAGGGAGUGGCCGGCAGCGGCGGCACACGUGGCCCGUGGGCGCGUCGCCCACACGCUCACGCUACUCCCAAGGUCACGAGCGGAAAAGGGCGACCUACCACCCGCCCCGCCCCCGCCCCGCGCACCGCGCGCACACGGUCGCGAUCCCCCGCCGUACGGGGGCCACACCACACCCACACCCACGCCGACGGAAGCGAAGCAGCGAAAGAUCCACCACGGGCCCACCCGCCCCCGCAGCGGGUGGGCACCGCACCGCACUGCUGGCCGCCGCGCCUAAUUAACAAGUAGUAAUUUAUUUCACGUCCACGACGCUCCUCCACCUCGUUCGUUAUCCACAUGCCCCCUCACAGCCGCACCUACGUCUCUCCGCAGGAAACAGCCUGGAGUGGACGACACGUAGGGGUACGUACGGCGGCAGGCGCACUGAUUAUUUUUCCCUCCCACGAUCUGACACCGGACACUUCCGUCGUGCCGCCGCUGCGAGAAGACUUGGAGGGUGCUUGGAUACAUUUUAGUUUCAUGAUUAAAAGUAGUGGGACUAAAACUUAUUAGUCUCAUCCAUACUUGGAUACAAAUACUAAAUAGACUAAAAUGAGUUAAUGAGCAUUUAUUAUCCUUCAAACCCUCCAAUCCCGAACUCGCAUGUGUUAAAGAAAAUGAGUUAAAUGAAGAGAGAGAGGACUAAUCCACAUUUUAGUAGGGUUCCCCUGACUAAAAAUUUUUAGUCUCAAGACUAGUUCUAGCCUCUCUUUAGUCAAGGGUGAUUGGAAAUUUAGCCUCUAAAAGAGACUAGUUUUAGUCAGACUAAAAAUAGUCCCUUGAAUCCAAGCAUGGCCUUGGCCAAGCCCCGAGCAUUAAUAAUAAUAAAAUACCAUUUCCUCGGUCGGCAGGGCGGCUGCGGAAGCAGCGGCGGAUUUACCUUACUCUUAGAGGGUGCUUGGAUACAAGGGACUAUUUUUAGUCUGACUAAAAAUAGUCUUUUUUAGAGGCUAAAGUUCCAAGCACCCCUGACUAAAGAGAGGCUAGGACUAAUCUUAAGGCUAAAAUCUUUUAUUCAUGGGAAACCUACUAAAAUAUGUAUUAGCUCUCUUUCUUCUCAUUUAAUUCCUCUUCUUAGUUCUGGAUUGGAGGGUUUGGAGGAUAAUAAAUGCUCAAUAACUAGAUUUUAGUCUCUUUAGUAUUUGGAUCCAAGCAUGGGUGAGACUAGCAAGUUUUAGUCCCACUACUUUUAGUCAUGGGACUAAAACGUAUCAAGCAUGCUCUUAUCUAAUCUCGUUACACUUGUGCUGCCAAGCUACCAGCGGUUGGGUUAAAAUUAAAACCCAAAAGGACGGACGGCGACGGCGACAUUUUUUCCAAGGAGCCGUCCCCGCACAUCGCUGUUUAUUAUUGCGACAGAUCGUGAGCGCGAUUUGCAGUAGUAAAUUCGACACGUAGUGGGCGGCGAGCAUGGAUCCAUGCAGCAGCAGCGCGCGCACGAGGUGACCCGACCCGACCCGAGCUUUCUUCGACCGGCCAAUAAUGACCAUGCUGCAUGGGUCGCAAGCAAGCGGCCAGACGAGAUUGAGAUGAGACGAGGCGACGGGUGCAAACGCACGGGCCGCCCACCGAAACGCACUUACUCCUGCCCUCCAUCACCCCUUCCGUUUCACCAAAGAUAUGCUGGUUAUGUCUAGACUCAUAAAAAAAGAUCUGCUAGUAAAUGGAGUAGAGGAUUCGCAAAAAGUAGAAGUAACUGAGUAGUGAGUAAAUACGAGUGGUCUGUCAAAGUAGAAGUAACUCAAUAUAAUUCGGUCCAUGGCAACGCCGGCAGGACUUGUCUUGGGCGACAAUACAUCCAUCCAUCUCUGCCUCUCCGGCGAAAAAAGAAACCGUAUUUACAGAUCUGCCCCUGCCGUUGUUGUGCAAGGCGGCCGGCCUCUUCUAAAAACAUCAUGGAGGUACAUGCAAAUUUUUCUUCGUUCUACU